UACGUAGGGACCAAGCGUUGUUCGGAUUUACUGGGCGUAAAGGGUGCGUAGGUGGCGCCGUAAGUCAGGUGUGAAAUUUCGGAGCUUAACUCCGAAACUGCAUUUGAUACUGCGGUGCUUGAGGACUGGAGAGGAGACUGGAAUUCACGGUGUAGCAGUGAAAUGCGUAGAUAUCGUGAGGAAGACCAGUGGCGAAGGCGGGUCUCUGGACAGUUCCUGACACUGAGGCACGAAGGCCAGGGGAGCAAACGGG
rnacentral:rRNA from 1 species